rnacentral:rRNA from 1 species
AGAGUUUGAUCAUGGCUCAGGACGAACGCUGGCGGCGCGCCUAAUACAUGCAAGUCGAGCGAGAACCGGGACUUCGGUCCCGGGGAGAGCGGCGAACGGGUGCGUAACACGUGAGCAACCUGCCCCAAAGACCGGGACAACCCGGGGAAACCCGAGCUAAUACCGGAUGUCCUCAUCGGAUCGCAUGGUCUGGUGAGGAAAUGGAUUCCGCUUUGGGAUGGGCUCGCGGUCUAUCAGCUUGUUGGUGGGGUAACGGCUCACCAAGGCGACGACGGAUAGCUGGUCUGAGAGGACGAUCAGCCACACUGGGACUGAGACACGGCCCAGACUCCUACGGGAGGCAGCAGUAGGGAAUCUUGCGCAAUGGGGGAAACCCUGACGCAGCGACGCCGCGUGCGGGAUGAAGGCCUUCGGGUUGUAAACCGCUUUCAGCAGGGACGAAAUUGACGGUACCUGCAGAAGAAGGACCGGCCAACUACGUGCCAGCAGCCGCGGUAAUACGUAGGGUCCUAGCGUUGUCCGGAUUUAUUGGGCGUAAAGAGCUCGUAGGCGGUUCGGCAAGUCGGAUGUGAAAUCGCCACGCUUAACGUGGAGGGGCCAUUCGAAACUGCUGUGACUUGAGUCCGGUAGGGGGGUGUGGAAUUCCCGGUGUAGCGGUGAAAUGCGCAGAUAUCGGGAGGAACACCAGCAGCGAAGGCGGCACCCUGGGCCGGUACUGACGCUGAGGAGCGAAAGCGUGGGGAGCAAACAGGAUUAGAUACCCUAGUAGUCC